rnacentral:rRNA from 1 species
UACGUAGGGCGCAAGCGUUGUCCGGAAUUAUUGGGCGUAAAGAGCUCGUAGGCGGCUUGUCACGUCGGAUGUGAAAGCCCGGGGCUUAACCCCGGGUCUGCAUUCGAUACGGGCUAGCUAGAGUGUGGUAGGGGAGAUCGGAAUUCCUGGUGUAGAGGUGGAAUGCGCAGAUAUCAGGAGGAACACCGGUGGCGAAGGCGGGUCUCUGGGCAGUAACUGACGCUGAGGAGCGAAAGCGUGGGGAGCGAACAGG